CCUGGCGGCUUUAGCGCGGUGGUCCCACCUGACCCCAUGCCGAACUCAGAAGUGAAACGCCGUAGCGCCGAUGGUAGUGCGGCCAUAACAGCGGAGUGACACCGGUAAACCGAAAGGC
rnacentral:rRNA from 1 species